GAUGAAGAACGUAGCGAAAUGCGAUACGUAAUGUGAAUUGCAGAUCUCUCAGUGAACCAUCGAAUUUUUGAACGCACAUAGCGCCCGCCGGUCAUUCCGGCGGGCAUGCCUGUCCGAGCGUCGAUGACGCCGCUCGAGCCCCCGUGCUCGGUGUUGGGGCGCUAGGUCUCCCAGAGGCCUAGGCCCCCAAGUAGCAGUGCGCGGUCCGGCUGCGGGCCCCGGGUACAGUAUCUUCACUGUUGAGAUGCCCUGGGAGCCGCUGGCUGAGUCAGCCGUAAAACCCCCGACAUAGGCCUUCCUGUCCGCCCCCGGCGGGGAGGGAGACCGCCUAAUGUUGACCUCGGAUCAGGUAGGACUACCCGCUGAACUUAAGCAUAUCAAUAAGCGGAGGA
rnacentral:misc_RNA from 1 species